UAGGCUAGUCUAGCUUAGGGGUGUUUUGAAUACUUAUUGUUUCUUUCCUUGGGUCCAUCUCAGCCCCUUUUCCUGCUCCCUCCAUUACAAUGUGUUUAUUAAUAAACCCUGAGUUUGACGGUAGAUUUCAGUUGUCCUGGUUAUUUCGUUCACACUUUUACUUUGUCACUAUUAUAAAUUGCAUGAGUUGUUACGGUCUCAUUACCAUCCCCCUAGACUGUCGGGCCAAAAGGGAUUCGUAACAGCAUGCUACAGUAGUUUAUUUUCGGUUCCAGUGUAUGGCACAGGUUUAUUCUGCAUGUAUCUCGCAGUAUCAGUCAUUUAUUAGCUAAUACAUGUAUUAUGUUAGCUAGUUUAAUGGUGUGAAAAUUGUGAUAAUAGCCUUACAUUUCAAUCUACAUAUGCAUAUGGGUCUGCUAUGUUAGGUAGGCUAUUCAAUUCCCUUGACAUUUCGCAAGCUUGAGUACUUUACAAUAAGGGAAGAUAUGCAUUGUGUUAAUCUUACUAUUUGCCCAUUAGAUCUGACAUGCAUUGAAUGCUAGACAACUUUACAUGUAUGCUUUCCAUAAAUGCCAUGUGUACUUUGCAAAGAUGAAACCCUUCCGUGUUGAUUCUCCCUUCCUGUAUCUGUCAUAGGCCUAUGCAUUUUUGUCCUAUUGCUUGUUGUGGAAAUUUCCUCUAUUUACCAAAUCAUGGGAGCAAACCACACAAGUCAGAGUUAGUUAUCAAAGUCCAUCUUUAAUUAUAUCAGCUCAGCUCUAUCACAAUCCAGUGACUCUCAAUGAAUUCUCUGAGAGCCCCUCCUGCAUUGCAACUGCAAUCCUUUAAUAGCAAAGAACACACAUAGUCAGACAGCAUAGACAUAAUAAAUAGUUCAGCUUUGUCUCCUUACUCCUAACCCUAGAACCAUAAACCAACCCUCUAUAUCAAAUUGUCAUUUAGAUACAACCAAUCCUGGACAAACUCAGAGGAUAGAAUGAUUCCAGACACUGCCAUCCAUGGGAAAAGUACCUCCAGCGCUCCCUCCUGACUCAUGUCCGGCCUGUCCCUGGUAAUCUACCCCAGGCUUUUGUCCUUGUCCCGGUGUGGUGAAGACCAACAGAAGAGAGGGAUGUCCUUCCUGCCUCCAAAGCAUGUCUCGGAAAGUGCUGAGAUUAUUUUUUUUUUUUAAUAAUAAAUGAUAUGCUCGUAAAUGGUCAUUUUAAUAUUUGCUCAUGUUGGUAGUUUAACUCAGUCUUUCCCUUUAAAUGCAUCUGGUGAUUCCAGAGACCUGGCGGGCAACUCUCAACAAGAAGCACCAGCAGUGGAUUGACCUGACACUGUUUACCCAAGUUGAAUUCUGAGUUGACCAAAGUCACCUUGCUAAGUCCUCAAACCUGAUGGCUCCAAAAACAGAUUUUCACCAACUCAAAUUGAAUUGACAUUGUUAGGUUUCAUGAUGCUUCUAUCUAAAGUCACCAUAUCCUAGAGAGAUUUACAUGGUUAUCAAAACUUCACGAUGCUUAAAAUUAUUAAAAUACACAAGUGAAUUUUGUUGUGUUUGGGAAAUAUUUCUAUCAAUACAAAUGUGUAGGCGGCUUAACUUACCCUGUCCCGUUGCCUGAGAUCAGGGAUACACAUCAUCCUGAAAUGUGUGGAUAUCUUUGUUAGAAAUAAUACUUUAUUUUCCUUGUCCCAGUGAUGCUGAAUGUAAGACAUGGCUCAACUUACCCCACUCUCCCUACCCUGUCCCUAUACUCAAUUUACUCCAUAUCUGAUCUGGUGUAAAUUGUGCCAAGAGACCACUUUUUUUUGGACAUGCUCGGUUUUCAAAACAGUUUAUAUGAAUUCUGAUUAUUUCCAGUGAUAUACAACAUCCUGAAAUAUAUGUAAAUAUCUCUCUUAGAUAAAAUACUAUAUCUCCCUUGAUGUACUGAUGCGGAAUAUAAAUGUCUCAACAUACCCUACAUACAGUAUGCGUGUGGUACAUUGAGAAAAAAGUGUUGGACUGCCCCUCCCUGCUCUGUCUACUGGGCUUUGCUGCGCUUACUUCCUGCAGGAGAUUGGUGGGCGGAGUAGGGUCGUCAGUGCUGAUGGGGCACACCUGUGAAAGCUCAGCUGUGGCAUAAAGCAACUACUUCCCCAUUCAGCAAGAGAUUCCUCUCCAUGCAUAGUGUUGGUUGUUUUGUUGUGGCUUUGGCAGUUGAUGUGUAAUUUGCUGACCUUCAUAUCUCAUCUGAUUAUUGUUGUGAGUGUUCACUUUAUUUAUGGAAUAAAUUCAUUUUGUUAUUCCUUUA